rnacentral:rRNA from 1 species
GAUGAACGCUGGCGGCGUGCUUAACACAUGCAAGUCGAACGAUGAAGCCCAGCUUGCUGGGUGGAUUAGUGGCGAACGGGUGAGUAACACGUGAGUAACCUGCCCGUAACUCUGGGAUAAGCCUGGGAAACUGGGUCUAAUACCGGAUAGGAGCGUCCACCGCAUGGUGGGUGUUGGAAAGAUUUAUCGGUUUUGGAUGGACUCGCGGCCUAUCAGCUUGUUGGUGAGGUAAUGGCUCACCAAGGCGACGACGGGUAGCCGGCCUGAGAGGGUGACCGGCCACACUGGGACUGAGACACGGCCAAGACUCCUACGGGAGGCAGCAGUGGGGAAUAUUGCCCACUGCGCGCAAGCCUGAUGCCGCGCCGCCGCGUGAGGGAUGACGGCCUUCGCGUUGUAAACCUCUUUCAGUAGGGACGAAGCGAAAGUGACGGUACCUGCAGAAGAAGCACCGGCUAACUACGUG